rnacentral:lncRNA from 1 species
UCUUCAAGCACGCCUGCAAAAAGAACCUAAAAAUAGGUUUUAGGUACCCAACUUCUUUUGGGUCCUUGGGGGUUAGGAUAAUAAUAAUCAUAAUCAAUACAUAAAUCUCUAUGUUUAGCAAAACAGACGGGUGCAAUGUGUCCUACCCGAUUACAAUAGUGACAUAUAUCAUUAGGAUUGUGCAUAUGUCUAGGUUGAGCCAAAUGCGUUCUAGGUGAU